rnacentral:pre_miRNA from 1 species
GGAUUUGGAGUGAAGGCAAGAUGUUGGCAUAGCUGUUGAAUUCUAUGACCUGCUAUGCCUUCAGAUUGUCAUCUUUCCUA